rnacentral:rRNA from 1 species
UACGAAGGGGGCUAGCGUUGUUCGGAAUUACUGGGCGUAAAGCGCGCGUAGGCGGACAUUUAAGUCAGGGGUGAAAUCCCAGGGCUCAACCCUGGAACUGCCUUUGAUACUGGAUGUCUGGAGUUCGGGAGAGGUGAGUGGAAUUCCGAGUGUAGAGGUGAAAUUCGUAGAUAUUCGGAGGAACACCAGAAGCGAAGGCGGCUCACUGGUCCAUUACUGACGCUGAGGUGCGAAAGCGUGGGGAGCAAACAGG